UUUUUUUUAUAUUCUAAUGCCUAAUUAGUAAUUACUAUUUCUCAUUCUAGAGAAAGACAUAAAGACAGAAAAGUGAGACUGAGGUCUGAGAACAGAGAGGAGAGAACUGAAACCCUAACACCUAAAGCAGCAGCCGCCAGCCAGUACCCAGUAGCCACCAAUCCUUUCCGCCUCCGCUCGUCGUCGUCUACUUCCACCAGUCGUCGGUCUCCCUCCUCUCGCCAUCGAGAACAGAGAGGAGAGAACUGAAACCCUAACACCUAAAGCAGCAGCCGCCAGCC
rnacentral:lncRNA from 1 species